ACUGCAAUUUUUUUUGGAAUACCUUUGGAAAACCUAUUCAAACAGAUAAACGAUAGCAGGGUUUGAAAUCUAAAAGAAAACAGCAGAAUGUAUUAGAAUAUUAG